rnacentral:rRNA from 1 species
UGAAUACGAGACGCUACGGCGUCGAAGCAGUCUAUGUCAUACUUCCAAGAAAAGCUUGCACUGUCAUAAACAAAUAAUGCCUGUACCAUAACCGACACAGGUGGGUAGGUAGAGUAUACUAAGGGGCGCGAGAUAACUCUCUCUAAGGAACUCGGCAAAAUGACUCCGUAACUUCGGGAGAAGGAGUGCCUUAUUUAUAAGGUUGCAAUAACAAGAUCCAAGCAACUGUUUAUCAAAAACACAGGUCUCCGCUAAGUCGUAAGACGAUGUAUGGGGGCUGACGCCUGCCCAGUGCCAGAAGGUUAAAGAAGUUGGUUAGUGUAUGCGAAGCUGAUGACUGAAGCCCUGGUGAACGGCGGCCGUAACUAUAACGGUCCUAAGGUAGCGAAAUUCCUUGUCGGGUAAGUUCCGACCCGCACGAAAGGCGUAAUGAUUUGGAUACUGUCUCGGAGAGAGGCUCGGUGAAAUAGACUUGUCUGUGAAGAUGCGGACUACCUGCACCAGGACAGAAAGACCCUAUGAAGCUUUACUGUAACUUGAAAUUGGAAUUGGACUUUGCUUGCGCAGUAUAGGUGGGAAGCGUUGAAGAUAUUCUUGCGGGAGUAUUGGAGCUAUCAGUGAGAUACCACUCUUGUAAUGUUAGAUUUCUAACUUUGAACCAUAAUCUGGUCAAAGAACAGUUUCAGGUGGGCAGUUUGACUGGGGCGGUCGCCUCCCAAAUGGUAACGGAGGCGUACAAAGGUUUCCUCUGAACGGAUAGAAAUCGUAUCUAGAGUGUAAAGGCAUAAGGAAGCUUGACUGUGAGACCUACAAGUCGAGCAGGGACGAAAGUCGGUCUUAGUGAUCUGACGGUACUGAGUGGAAAGGCCGUCACUCAACGGAUAAAAGUUACUCUAAGGAUAACAGGCUGAUCUCCCCCAAGAGUUCACAUCGACGGGGAGGUUUGGCACCUCGAUGUCGGCUCAUCGCAUCCUGGGGCGGUAGUACGUCCCAAGGGUUGGGCUGUUCGCCCAUGAAAGCGGUACGCGAGCUGGGUUCAGAACGUCGUGAGACAGUUCGGUCCAUAUCCGGUGUAGGCGUUAGAAUAUUGAGAGGAGCCUUCUUUAGUACGAGAGGACCGAGAAGGACACACCGCUGGUGUACCAGUUAUCGUGCCAACGGUAAACGCUGGGUAGCUAUGUGUGGAGUGGAUAACCGCUGAAAGCAUCUAAGUGGGAAGCCCACCUCAGGAUGAGUA